GUGCCUAUGCGGAGCUACACAUGCAAGUCGAGCGGUAGCACAGAGAGCUUGCUCUCGGGUGACGAGCGGCGGACGGGUGAGUAAUGUCUGGGAAACUGCCUGAUGGAGGGGGAUAACUACUGGAAACGGUAGCUAAUACCGCAUAAUGUCGCAAGACCAAAGUGGGGGACCUUCGGGCCUCAUGCCAUCAGAUGUGCCCAGAUGGGAUUAGCUAGUAGGUGGGGUAACGGCUCACCUAGGCGACGAUCCCUAGCUGGUCUGAGAGGAUGACCAGCCACACUGGAACUGAGACACGGUCCAGACUCCUACGGGAGGCAGCAGUGGGGAAUAUUGCACAAUGGGCGCAAGCCUGAUGCAGCCAUGCCGCGUGUGUGAAGAAGGCCUUCGGGUUGUAAAGCACUUUCAGCGGGGAGGAAGGCGUUAAGGUUAAUAACCUUGGCGAUUGACGUUACCCGCAGAAGAAGCACCGGCUAACUCCGUGCCAGCAGCCGCGGUAAUACGGAGGGUGCAAGCGUUAAUCGGAAUUACUGGGCGUAAAGCGCACGCAGGCGGUCUGUCAAGUCGGAUGUGAAAUCCCCGGGCUCAACCUGGGAACUGCAUUCGAAACUGGCAGGCUAGAGUCUUGUAGAGGGGGGUAGAAUUCCAGGUGUAGCGGUGAAAUGCGUAGAGAUCUGGAGGAAUACCGGUGGCGAAGGCGGCCCCCUGGACAAAGACUGACGCUCAGGUGCGAAAGCGUGGGGAGCAAACAGGAUUAGAUACCCUGGUAGUCCACGCCGUAAACGAUGUCGAUUUGGAGGUUGUGCCCUUGAGGCGUGGCUUCCGGAGCUAACGCGUUAAAUCGACCGCCUGGGGAGUACGGCCGCAAGGUUAAAACUCAAAUGAAUUGACGGGGGCCCGCACAAGCGGUGGAGCAUGUGGUUUAAUUCGAUGCAACGCGAAGAACCUUACCUGGUCUUGACAUCCACAGAACUUUCCAGAGAUGGAUUGGUGCCUUCGGGAACUGUGAGACAGGUGCUGCAUGGCUGUCGUCAGCUCGUGUUGUGAAAUGUUGGGUUAAGUCCCGCAACGAGCGCAACCCUUAUCCUUUGUUGCCAGCGGUUAGGCCGGGAACUCAAAGGAGACUGCCAGUGAUAAACUGGAGGAAGGUGGGGAUGACGUCAAGUCAUCAUGGCCCUUACGACCAGGGCUACACACGUGCUACAAUGGCAUAUACAAAGAGAAGCGACCUCGCGAGAGCAAGCGGACCUCAUAAAGUAUGUCGUAGUCCGGAUUGGAGUCUGCAACUCGACUCCAUGAAGUCGGAAUCGCUAGUAAUCGUAGAUCAGAAUGCUACGGUGAAUACGUUCCCGGGCCUUGUACACACCGCCCGUCACACCAUGGGAGUGGGUUGCAAAAGAAGUAGGUAGCUUAACCUUCGGGAGGGCGCUACCACAGUGAUACAGAUUCG
rnacentral:rRNA from 1 species